GUUCAGUAGUCACUGCAAAACCACCUCAUCAAUGUUACAUUUGGAGUGCCUUAAAAGUUUGUUUGGGAUAUUUUGUCCUCUUCCCUGGAGUUCCGAAGUCAGAAGGGUAGAAAAUUGACAGAUUUUUUUUGCCCCAGGUUUCCUGUUCAAGAAAAAUCCAGCUGCUGUUUGGCUCAGAUGUUUUACCAAAGAGCACAGAGAAGAAGAGGCCAGCUCACUCUGAGAUAACCUACCCAGGCACUCGUGCAAUCUGCUGCUGUUGGGACACAGGGACACAUGCAGCUCCCAUUUCCACUUGAACGCUGCAAUUACUGGGGGCAUGAAGCUAUCCAAAAUAAACUCACAUAAUGGGCUGUGGUGGUUUUUUAACCUUCAGCAUUGGCCUGUCUCACAUCCUUUGGAAUGAUACCAGAUGAUCAACCUCCUUUCCUUUGGGGAAGAGGGUCCAUACCGCUGUGAAGAAUUUGAGCCUGGGGAAAAGAGAUUCCCUAUUCACCUGGAUGCCUUUCUGACAGUUAGGACUCAUUGCAUAGAUGAGCUCUCCUGAUUGCCUGUUACAAAAACAGGUGCUAAAAUAAACUAAUAGUGAUGGAGCACAGGAACUACCACUGCAGCACUCACAAGAGCAUGUCACAGCCUGGCCUAAACUUUGUCUUCUACCUACUCCAGCAAGAUAAACAAGGAGCACCACAUCUUGCUCCAGGCUGUCACCACACUCUUCAUUGGCCUCUGUGUUGCUAUGAAUAAAAUUAUUACUUUAAGG